GUCGAGGCCCGGCGGGACGCCUGGGCUCUGUGGGCGGGCUCAGGACCGCCGGACCAGCGCCGCCGGGUGGUGGUGGGACGCCUGCGCGCCGGAGAGCAAAGGGACGACCUUAUGAGGAGGACACUCUCUCCUCUUGGACUUUUCAUGACAAUGAAACACAUCUGCUUCUGGCAGAACCAAUUACUUUGAGAGGAAGAGGCCAUUGAAGAGGCUCCUUAGCCAUUUGAACAAGAAACUGCUCAUGCCUGCACUACUUAAGUGUACAUGCAGGACCCACAGAGAAAUGACUGCUGAAUUUACCUAAAGAUGCUCUGAGCAUGAAGCCCUCAUGAGUUCCUGAUAACAAGAAAGUGGUUUCUGGUGGACUUGCAGUAGAAAUUCCUGAGAGCUACGUCAUGGCCACUAAUCAAGAAGAGCACUUUAUAAGCUGCCCUCG